GUUGUCACGGUAACCGGUAUAGCGGUAAAACCCGGUAAAAAAGUUGACAAUAAAAAUAACCGUCCAGUUUUAAAAAAACUAAAUUAUCUCGGUGGGUUUACCGUGGCCGCGGUUUCAGCGCGGUGACCCUUACCAGCCACCGUCGCUUCAGCUGAAGUUUCCGCGGCGCGCACACGCACUGUUUAGUUUGCAACGGCACCAAAACUUUGAAGCUGAAAUAAUGGCCGAAGGAGGAGACGGCAGCGCCCAGGACAUCCAUCAGCCCUCAAAGAAGACUAAAUCGGAAGUAUGGGCAUAUUUUGGAUUUCUGAAAAACGCUGAGGGACAGUUAAUAGAAGACUGCUAUCCCGUUUGCAGAACGUGCAGGAAACAAGUGUCUGCAAAAGGCAGCAACACUUCGAAUCUAAAGGCACAUCUGCGUGACCAUCACCCACGUCUCUACAGCCAGUGCAAGGUAAGUUAACAUUAGCAUUUUAGCUUAAAUGCAUGACGUGAGGACUUUUGGUUGAGGGAGAAUGCAACGAGUCACUAAAUACUGCAGCCGCAGCGUCCUCUGCCAGCAUUUAAACCGUGUCACGGACACCCUGUUGCUGGAUGAAGCAUCUUAUUUGUUGAUGAUGAAGAGAAAUAUACAAUUAGUUCCUUGUCAUUGAUUUGUUUACUUAUUCAAUGCCAUUUAUACUUGAACAUUUGGAUUUGAUUACAUAGUGUAGUAGUUAUUUUAGUAAUUUGUUUAAAGUGGCUAUUUAUUUUAAAUACAUAUUUUUUUAAGGUUGACUUGUACAGUGCUCAAGUCAAGUGUGGACUGGAGUUUUAGAUUUUCAUUUUGAUAAUGAAGAAAACAAGUAUAUGAGAAAACAAGUGGUGUUUCUUUGAUUUGUUUACAUAUUGUUUAUGUUUUGAAUGUUUGGAUUUGUAUAAUUUAAACCUGCACUGACUACUGUAACAUGUUCCAGAAAAAUAAGCUAUUUGUUCCUUUACUUGUGAAAAGUUGCACUUUUGCUAAGGCUUUGUGUUAUUUUAGGUUUAAUAAACACUGUUAAACCUUUUCAGAACUAUUUCAGUUUGUGUAGAACAGGACUAUCAAUGCUUUCUGAACAUAUGCAACACCAUUUAAAAAAUACCGCGAUAAUACCGAAAACCGUGAUAAUUUUGGUCACAAUAACCGUGAGGUUAAAUUUUCAUACCGUGACAACCCUAGAAAAUACCAAAGCGUGCCCUUGGAAACCGUGGUCGGGCUGAACUGCAUCGGUCCGAGUUGCCCUGAGUAGUGUUCCUGGAAAAGCACCUUAACCCCGGCUUUCCACAGGAGCCGUCAGCAGCACGUUACUGCAGCAGCACGUCAUAGCUGCUGAUAGGAGCCGCUGUGGUCAACAGAACCUUUUCCACUGGAGCCGUCAGCAGCCGUCAGCAGUGCGAGUCAGCCGCGUCUCAGGAGCAGCAUGUCGCAGCCUUUACGCACCGGUUCUAUUUUCUACGUGCGAUGCCUCUGAAACGGGUCAAGUUCAACAUUUUUGGGGAAGGAAAGACAGGAAAUCGGACGCGGAAAUGGAGCGAAGCUCCCGAGAUUUUCAGAAUAAAGAAACGUACUGCCUUCCGGUUCCUUUACUUUUAAAAAUAGUUACUAACUGUGCGGCCCCGUGAGAAGUUAUCACCUAGCUAGCGGUCUCCUUUGUUUUUCAGGUCCAUAUUGGCAAUUAUAAAACGGACAGAACAUAAAACACAAACCUUUUGGAGCCAUGUUGUAGUUUUCUCCUGCUUGUUGUUGUGUUUACUGACGAAGUCACUCGUGUGACUUCGCGCUCUGUCGGUGACAGCUGCUCCCCUGCUGCUUAGCGUCUCGUGGGAAGGGCCAGGCAGCAGUUUACGUGAGCAAGACGUGCUGCUGCAGUAACGUGUUGCUGAUGGCUCCUGUGGAAACCCGGGGGUUAGGCUGCAGAACCAGGCAUAUCAGCUUUACUAACUCCAACAGACCUGACCGGCAAUCUGAAGUUGCAAGUGUGGUAUUCUGGCCACAGAGCGGUGAGGGUCUGAGUGACAUUUCAUUCACCAUGUAAAGGGUCAUUUUGGCACAUGCUGGCUCAAGAAAAUGAGUUCAAAAUACGAAAAAGUUUUAAAGUAUCACUUUAAGUUAUCUUGGUGUCAUGGUCUGGGGUGAGUCCUCCUCUCUCUGCUAAACCUUCUCUGAGCUUCUCCUGCAGGUGGGCGUGUCAAGGAGUGGACCAGCUGCAGCCCAUCUGCUCAUCAGUUGGCCAGGGACAUAUAAGCUGCUGGGAGACAUCUUUAUUCGCUGGAUGAUUAACUCAACUUCGGUAUCUACGACUCCCGAGCCUGAUUACUGAGUAAUCCGAAUAGAUAUCGUCCAAGUCGUACUUCUAGCCAGAUUGCUGGUUCCUGUGUGUUUUUCCAAGCUUGCCUGAUUUUUGUAAGCUGCCUCUUCUCCAGAUUUCCACCACCACCUUUCACACCGUCCUGCAACCUACCGGACCAGUCCCGCUGUCUCCCAGCCGCUCCCUGGCUGUCCGCUCCAUACUGACCUUACCUUACCGGAUCCUGCUCCCUAUUCCGUGCUCAGCUCCUCCAGUCCUCCAGCAACCUGGAAACCCAGUCUCCUAUGAUCCAGCGUGUGUCUCUGUCUCCCACUCCUCACGGACUACCCCCCCAGAACAACUCUUCUCUGGUUUCCCCUGGAUCACAAACUAUAACCCCCCGGAGCCCCAGCUGGAUUUUCCUGCUGCGCUUUUAGUUCACGUUUUAUAAACUUUCUUUUUUAUACCAUACUCAGACUCUGUGAAUGAUUCUGCAUGUGGUGGGUCAGACACCUUCCCCCCUAACAUGACACUUGGUUGGACAAGUUUUUGUUUAUAUUUAUACAUUGUUUUCAUUUUGUUCUCAAUUCUCUCAACUACUUAGCUUUAGUAGGAGGAUGUUUUAUCUCAACAAGCUUUAUUCUGUAAGUGAAUAAAUAUAUGGGUGCAUAUAGGACACACCCAAAGUC